rnacentral:rRNA from 1 species
AGUCGUGGCUAAGGAACUAGGCAAAAUAGUCUCGUAACUUCGGAAGAAGAGACGCCAACAGCAAUGUUGGCCGCAGUGAAGAGGCCCAGGCGACUGUUUAUCAAAAACACAGGACUCUGCUAAAUCGAAAGAUGCUGUAUAGGGUCUGACACCUGCCCGGUGCUGGAAGGUUAAGGAAGGUGCUUAGAGUUAAAUCGAAGGCAUUAACUGAAGCCCCAGUAAACGGCGGCCGUAACUAUAACGGUCCUAAGGUAGCGAAAUUCCUUGUCGGGUAAGUUCCGACCUGCACGAAUGGUGUAACGAUCUGGGCACUGUCUCAGCCACGAGCUCGGUGAAAUUGUAGUAUCGGUGAAGAUGCCGAUUACCCGCAAUGGGACGAAAAGACCCUGUGAACCUUUACUAUAACUUCGUAUUGACUUUGAGUAAGUAAUGUGUAGGAUAGGUGGGAGGCUUUGAAGCAGGCACGCUAGUGUUUGUGGAGCCAACGUUGAAAUACCACCCUUUACUUACUUGGAGCCUAACUUCUUUUAGAAGGACAUUGCGUGGUGGGUAGUUUGACUGGGGUGGUCGCCUCCAAAAGAGUAACGGAGGCUUUCAAAGGUACCCUCAGCACGCUUGGUAACCGUGCGUAGAGUGUAAUGGCAUAAGGGUGCUUGACUGUGAGACCUACAAGUCGAUCAGGUGCGAAAGCAGGACAUAGUGAUCCGGUGGUUCCGUAUGGAAGGGCCAUCGCUCAUAGGAUAAAAGGUACUCCGGGGAUAACAGGCUAGUCU